GUGGGGAAUAUUGGGCAAUGGGGGAAACCCUGACCCAGCGACGCCGCGUGAGGGAAGAAGGCCUUAGGGUCGUAAACCUCUGUUGUGUGGGAAGAAGAGCGUGACGGUACCACACGAGGAAGUCCCGGCUAACUACGUGCCAGCAGCCGCGGUAAUACGUAGGGGACGAGCGUUGUCCGGAAUUACUGGGCGUAAAGGGCGCGUAGGCGGUCAUUUAAGUCAGCUGUGAAAUGGUCCGGCUCAACCGGAUCAUGCGGUUGAAACUGGAUGACUGGAGUGCUGGAGAGGCAAGUGGAAUUCCCAGUGUAGCGGUGAAAUGCGUAGAUAUUGGGAAGAACACCGGUGGCGAAGGCGACUUGCUGGCCAGCAACUGACGCUGAGGCGCGAAAGCCAGGGGAGCAAACGGGAUUAGAAACCCUGGUAGUCC
rnacentral:rRNA from 1 species